rnacentral:rRNA from 1 species
AACAAACGCUGGCGGCGUGCCUAACACAUGCAAGUCGUGCGAGAAAGUCCCCUUCGGGGGGCGAGUAAAGCGGCGAAAGGGUGAGUAACACGUGGGUAACCUGCCCCUUGGACCGGGAUAACCCGCCGAAAGGUUAGUUAAUACCGGAUAAGACCACGCGGACACAGGUCCGAGCGGUAAAAGAUGGCCUCUGCAUGCAAGCUAUCACCGAGGGAUGGGCCCGCGGCCUAUUAGCUAGUUGGUAGGGUAACGGCCUACCAAGGCUAUGAUGGGUAGCCGGCCUGAGAGGGUGUACAGCCACACUGGAACUGAGACACGGUCCAGAGUCCUACGGGCGGCAGCAGUGGGGAAUUUUGCGCAAUGGGGGAAACCCUGACGCAGCAACGCCGCGUGAGUGAUGAAGGCCUUCGGGUCGUAAAGCUCUUUUGGUGGGGAAGAAAUGCGCAGCGGUCAAUACCCGCGGCGUUUGACGGUACCCACAGAAAAAGUCCCGGCUAACUCCGUGCCAGCAGCCGCUGUAAAAC